rnacentral:lncRNA from 1 species
UUUGAAUGCAGAAGUAAUGAGGUCCUGGAGUUUAUACCAAGAUUCCAGACCGAUUCCAAAUGAAGAUCCUUUAACAACACUGACCACUCCCAGCAACCCGUAGAACCAAGGACGACUUUCACUUUCAGAAGCUUUUAAAAGGAAAGGACCUUAGACUAGAAAUGAUGCCUUACUACAAGGUGCGGACUAUGGAAGUCGCUGCUGCCCUUACACAUCCCAUCCUCUGGACAGCAUCUGGAAUCUGACACUAUGAAACUGGGGCCUAAAUUGCAAUGGUCAUCCCGCGUGGUAGAGAUACAGGGAAUACAGAACGCAUCCUAAGGAAAGCUGAACCCAGUGGAGCCAGCCCAAAGUGAUGCAGCGCCAUCCGGAUGCCACCUCCAUGAAGCCCGCAGGGUAUGUUUGCCACCAGCUAUGGGAAGCACGUGACUCGAGCUUCACUUUCACGGUUGCUCGCGGCUAAGACGUAGCUCUGAGUUUCAGAAGAGACUCUGGAUUUGGAUUUCUGAAUGGCGUUGGGACUGGGACCUCAAGAAGACCUGGAUACCGCGAAAAGACCGUGUUUUACCAGAUUCACUGCACCAUUCGAAAUCUUCUGAGAUCAUAAAUAGCUGUCAACAUGAUUUCCAGAGAUCCAAGGAAAAGGCACACUUGGGACGAGGGCUGUGUCCUCUUGUCCCCACCCCCAUGUUCCACCCCACUUUCUUUAGUAACCAGCUUUGAGGACAGCUGGUUUUUCUCCCCACGUUUCCCUCAUUAUGGACAGUAUUGGGAACUGAACCCCAGACCUUGCUCUACCAGUGAGCUAGCUGCAGCCAAGCUAUUCUUUCUUUGUUUCAGUUAGUAGCAUUGCCAAUUUUAAAUCACUUAAUGAAUUCAUUGCAAUGUGCUUUGUGCAAAGGCAUGUAUUCACACUUAGACUAUACAGAUCUACCAGCUAAGAUUCCAGUAGGAGACACAGACACUCCUUAAGAUGGCUUUCUGUCUCCUGAAAAGGGACUCUCAGCCCUUAUAGGGCAGAGUUCAGUGGAUGAGGGCAGAAGCUCUGGGCGAGUAUCCCAGAGUUCAGAGCCUGAGUCUGGUGGGAAGAGUCUGCUUUGGUCACUGGAACUAUGAAGAAGAGUUGCAGAGAGUUGACUGCAUUUAAGCAGCCCCUCCUUCGUCCAGAGGGCUUGCCAGAUGGUAAAUAUUCUGACCUUUUCUCCUGUAGGGUACCCCCAAAUAGUAGUUCAGGAGAUAAAGAGCCUAUAGUAGAGACUAUACCUGCUCAGUCUGUCUGACAGAGUGGAAGGACAGAAGGGUUGUUUGCACUCAUUUGUGGUCCCUAUUUAAAUAGUCUAGUCUAUAGUAACAGGUAUUCCAGUCACAAUUAUUCCCUGUAUUCUUAACCCCCCCCCAAUCAUUUGGCCCUAUGAUUUAAAAUGAUCUUUACUUUAGAAUAUAUCCUUUCAGAAUAAUGUAUUUUCCCUUGGGAAUGAUAGGUAGCAGAGUUCUCAGUUCUCCAAGCUAACCCUGACCCUUCCUGUGCCUUCGACUUUGACUGUUACCCAUAGACACAGCAUCCUCAGGUCUUCCUAGGGGAACACUGUAAGUGAGAGGCUGGGGGCUCUCUUAACUCCUCUUUCUGCCCUAGAGUCUAUUACCUCUGCUGAAAGUGCAUGUUAAUUGCAGGAGGAAAGCCAUCGCCAUCGAAAGUAUGGGAUCUGGACUGUACAGAAGGAAGAGAGUCAGAUGGGCGUUCGCUGUUCUCGGCUUCCCGACUGUGACUGCAGCGUGACCAGCAGCCUCCAGCCCUUGCCACCCGGACCCACUUACUGCGAUAGACUGCGCCCUGGAGCUGGGGGCUAAGGAAGACCCUUUGCCGUUCAAGGUGCUCUUACCAGGGUGCUUUACCACAUGAACAGUUACACACGAAAGAUGUAAAUGUGCUGUUGCUCCCUUCACCCUUGCCUCCUCCUGUAGUCAACGCUAAAGCCCAGGUGAUUGCUCAUCAUCACAACACUCCCGUCACCUCCAAAGCCUUCCAGUGAAGUUCAUCAGAGCUUUCUGCAGGGAUGCAAGAAUCCCCUCCAUGCCUUCUCUGUACAGCAUGGAGCCACGAGGUGGCCAUGAGCUGCCCAUCGCUGUGGACACUGAGCACAGGUAGUUAGGGCUGACAUGCCAGGCGGCCCAUUCCCAGUGCCCUCUGGGAGCCCUGAGGAAAAGCAAUCUUUGCAAUAUCUGACACCACCUGUGCCGGUGGUUAGGAUUUUCCCAAUUUGACAUGAGUCAGGCUCCUUUGGGAAGCAGGAACUGCAAUUGAGAAAAUGUCCCUAAUCCGAUUGGCCUGCAGGCAACUCUGUGGGGGCGUUUUCAUGAUUAAUAGCUGAUGUGGGAGGGCCUGGAUCAAUGCUACCCUCCAACAUGGUCCUGAGUAGUAUAAGAAAGCAAACGAACAAGACACGGAGUAUGCUAGUAAGCAGAAUCCUUCCCUGGCCUGUUUCAGUUCCUGCCUGCAGCUUCCUGCCUUGACUUCCCUGCAUGAUGGACUAUAGCCUGUUGGCUGAACUAAACCCUAUCUUCCUGGAGCUGCUUUUGGUCCUGGUCCUUAUCACACCAAUAGACAGCUGAUACACACCCCCUUCUAGGACAAGCUCCCAUCUCUGGCCUCACUUCCUCCCCUUACCCUCCACUCUCUAUCUGCAUGGUCUUCUUGCUUGGCUUUGUCUCUCCCACAUGCUUCUUGCAUUCUCUGCGUUCAGUGUUCUUUCCUUAAAUAUCUCCGUGGCUCGGUUCCUCCUUUGCUUUAAUUGUAGAGUGUAGAACAUUUACAUUUUGUGUGCUUAUUGAUUGAAAUCUAUGCAUUGCCACCUCCGACGUACUGUUUGUUUUCUAUGCAGACCAUCUGUCCCUGGCUUCUUUUUGGGCACCCUAUUUUCUCCUGCUUUUUUGGAUGCUGCUUACUAGUAUACUCUCUCCUUUGAUAGCCUUCUAUCUCUGAUGGCUCUUUGACCUCUGCAUUUUACGUUCUCCAUGGUUGUUUAGGGUUGAUAAUAGUCCUAAAUUGAUCUCAUUCCAGUGUCAGCUCACAUAGUCACCUCCUCGCUGUCACGCUGCAUGUAGAUGCUUCUUCCUGCCCUGUGAGUCACUGUUGUCACCUAUUUCUCUCCUGUAUAUGCCAUGGGUGCCAAACAUUGCAACCAUCAUUCUUGCUUUAAAUAGUUAGCUACAUUUCUGA